rnacentral:antisense_RNA from 1 species
AAGGACUGUGCUCCCAAUCCGCUUAUGCUCAAGGAAGAACUGCCUGGAAGCCCUCCCUGGUACCAUACCCCAGCCGAUGAGUAUGUACCCCCAGAAGUACUUCCGCUCGGAGAAGAAGGAGACGGCAAGCAGGGUGUACAGGAAGGCCCAGAACCAGCCUGAUGUCAGGAUCAGAACAAAAGAGGAGGACUGCAUAUGUCCCUUCCCGUGGGUAUACUUCUUCCCAGGCCUGUUGUGUGAGUUGGUGUUGCCAUCAUUCCUGCCCCACACUUGCAAACUUCCCUUUGGAAUUUCAGAGACCAGGCCCACAGAGUAUGGCUGUGCAAGUUGUUUACUGUACGAGGGCACCUGGCCGGGGUCUUACCUUGAAUGGGGGAGAAGAGCUUGAAGAUGAGGGGACAGGCCAAGACAACUACCUGGCCCCGAGGGGUGGCUGGCCAGCAGAUGAGGGAAUGGAGGCACAGACUGAUUAGAAAACCAGCUCAAGGUCAUGUUGCUGCUGGGCCUCCUCCAGGCACUGCUUGUGCUGCACCUCGAUCAUCUGCACAUAGUCACACUCCUCCUGCAGCCUGGCCGCCUGGCCGCCCUGGGGACAAAGACAGGGAGGGCCCAUCAGCCUCAUCCAUAGACUCAGGAGCACCAGGCCCAGUCUCUGGACUGCACCUGCCCUCUCUCUGGAAGAGAUCCAAGUUCCAGAUGGAACCCCAAUACCAACACCAGACUGAAACCUG